UACGAAGGGGGCUAGCGUUGCUUGGAAUCACUGGGCGUAAAGGGUGCGUAGGCGGGUCUUUAAGUCAGGGGUGAAAUCCUGGAGCUCAACUCCAGAACUGCCUUUGAUACUGGCGGUCUCGAGUCCGGGAGAGGUGAGUGGAACUGCGAGUGUAGAGGUGAAAUUCGUAGAUAUUCGCAAGAACACCAGUGGCGAAGGCGGCUCACUGGCCCGGUACUGACGCUGAGGUGCGAAAGCGUGGGGAGCAAACAGG
rnacentral:rRNA from 1 species